UACCAAGGCAAUGAUGGGUAGCCGGGUUGAGAGACGACCGGCCAGAUUGGGACUGAGACAGGCCCAGACUCCUACGGGAGGCAGCAGUGGGGGAAUCUUUGCACAAUGGGCGAAAGCCUGAUGCAGCGACGCCGCGUGCGGGAUGAAGGCCUUCGGGUUGUAAACCGCUUUCAGCAGGGACGAGGCCGCAAGGUGACGGUACCUGCAGAAGAAGCCCCGGGCUAACUACGUGCCAGCAGCCGCGGUAAAU
rnacentral:rRNA from 1 species